AUAGCUUCCCAGCCUAUUGGCUAAGUUCAACUGUAGUAUCUGUUCUAAUCAGUGUGAAAACUGGUUUCCCGAGCUUGCAAGAAUGAAGAAAGCGAAAAAUGAGGCGAAGACGCGUU
rnacentral:snRNA from 1 species